rnacentral:rRNA from 1 species
AGCAGCCGCGGUAAUUCCAGCUCCAAUAGCGUAUAUUAAAGUUGUUGCAGUUAAAAAGCUCGUAGUUGAAUUUUAGGUCAGACUGUCGCGGUCCGCCUUCUGGUGAGUACUGCGACGCGUUAGACCUAUCCUUUUGGUGAGACGACAUGUCCUUUACUGGGUGUGUCGGGGAACCAAAACCAUUACCUUGAAAAAAUUAGAGUGUUCAAAGCAGGCGUAUGCUCGAAUACAUUAGCAUGGAAUAAUAAAAUAGGACGCGUGGAUCUAUUUUGUUGGUUCUAGGACCACCGUA